AACGGCCACCCUGAAGGAUACACUGCACAUAGUGCUGCAUGUGCUUCUUCCGAAUACUUAGUUUGACCAGUCUACGAAUGAUUCUUCCCAGUGACACGAUGGCGUCACAAGGUGCUCUUUGGCAAAUGUCCGGUGCAGCUGUUGGACACCACGCUCGAUGAUUUGUGUAGUUUCUGGAGCAGAGUUUUAACCAGCUCCUGUUAUUCCUGUGGCAGCUGUGGCCCAGGCAAAAGGUCGGUGGUGCAAUUCCCCGGGCCCUCCAGUCCACAUGUCGCAGCAUCCCCGGGAAAGACACUGAACCCCAAAUUGCCCCUGACAACGCUGUAGGCAGUGUGUGUGAAAGGUCAAGGAGGUGUGUGAUGGAAAAGGCGCCGCAUGAAUGAAUGUAUGACUGGAUGAAUGUUGAUAAGACUAAAAAAGCACUAAUACAGUUCGUUUUCCAUUUGAAAACAAGUCUGAGAUCUAUUUGUUUGUGUUGGGCAUGUUUCACAUCAGUAGAUGCAUCAUGUGAACAGCGGACUCCAAAUGUUUGAGUUGUUAUUUAGACGUCAAAGUCGCUUUGGUCUGGUGUCAUUGAUUUAAUCCAUUCCAUGUUGUUAUUAGCAGAGGACGUCGUCUACUUUUUCAAAUCAUGAAUCAUGUAUUAAUUGUGGCAAAGAAGUUGGGAAAAAUGGAUGAUUACACUACGACAUUCCCUCUCAAACGGCAGAGAAGCAGAGUGAGGUGAGAGGCUUCCAUUCCAGCUCAAACCUGUCUUUAAUUCAUAUUUGUCAAGUGCAAUAACUGGAUGUCUUUGCAGAAUAUUGCUGCGUGCUGCAGAAUAAAAGAACAAUAUUUUAUUUCA